UGGGGAAUAUUGGACAAUGGGCGCAAGCCUGAUCCAGCAAUACCGCGUGUGUGAAGAAGGCCUGAGGGUUGUAAAGCACUUUCAAUGGGGAGGAAUACCCGGUGGUUAAUACCUGCCGGACUGACAUUACCCAUACAAGAAGCACCGGCUAACUCCGUGCCAGCAGCCGCGGUAAUACGGAGGGUGCAAGCGUUAAUCGGAAUUACUGGGCGUAAAGCGUGCGUAGGCGGCUCGCUAAGCCAGAUGUGAAAGCCCCGGGCUCAACCUGGGAACUGCAUUUGGAACUGGCGAGCUAGAGUUAGGUAGAGGAGAGUGGAAUUUCAGGUGUAGCGGUGAAAUGCGUAGAUAUCUGAAGGAACACCAGUGGCGAAGGCGGCUCUCUGGACCCAAACUGACGCUGAGGCACGAAAGCGUGGGUAGCAAACAGG
rnacentral:rRNA from 1 species